GUGGAUUAGAUACCCUGGUAGUCCACGCCCUAAACGAUGCGAACUAGGUGUUGGGGAAGGAGACUUUCUUAGUACCGCAGCUAACGCGUGAAGUUCGCCGCCUGGGGAGUACGGUCGCAAGAUUAAAACUCAAAGGAAUUGACGGGGACCCGCACAAGCGGUGGAUGAUGUGGAUUAAUUCGAUGCAACGCGAAAAACCUUACCUACCCUUGACAUGCCGAGAAUCCUGCUGAGAGGUGGGAGUGCCCGAAAGGGAGCUUGGACACAGGUGCUGCACGGCCGUCGUCAGCU
rnacentral:rRNA from 1 species